UCAGGACGAACGCUGGCGGCGUGCUUAACACAUGCAAGUCGAACGAUGAAGGGGAGCUUGCUUCCUGGAUUAGUGGCGAACGGGUGAGUAACACGUGAGUAACCUGCCCUUGACUCUGGGAUAAGCGUUGGAAACGACGUCUAAUACCGGAUAUGACCUGUGACGGCAUCGUCUGCAGGUGGAAAGAAUUUUGGUCAAGGAUGGACUCGCGGCCUAUCAGGUAGUUGGUGAGGUAACGGCUCACCAAGCCGACGACGGGUAGCCGGCCUGAGAGGGUGACCGGCCACACUGGGACUGAGACACGGCCCAGACUCCUACGGGAGGCAGCAGUGGGGAAUAUUGCACAAUGGGCGAAAGCCUGAUGCAGCAACGCCGCGUGAGGGACGACGGCCUUCGGGUUGUAAACCUCUUUUAGUUGGGAAGAAGGGAGCUUGCUCUUGACGGUACCAGCAGAAAAAGCACCGGCUAACUACGUGCCAGCAGCCGCGGUAAUACGUAGGGUGCAAGCGUUGUCCGGAAUUAUUGGGCGUAAAGAGCUCGUAGGCGGUUUGUCGCGUCUGCUGUGAAAUCUGGGGGCUCAACCCCCAGCCUGCAGUGGGUACGGGCAGACUAGAGUGCGGUAGGGGAGAUUGGAAUUCCUGGUGUAGCGGUGGAAUGCGCAGAUAUCAGGAGGAACACCGAUGGCGAAGGCAG
rnacentral:rRNA from 1 species